rnacentral:rRNA from 1 species
AGCGAACGCUGGCGGCAGGCCUAACACAUGCAAGUCGAACGAACCUUUCGGGGUUAGGGGCGGACGGGUGAGUAACACGUGGGAACGUGCCUUUAGGUUCGGAAUAACUCAGGGAAACUUGUGCUAAUACCGAAUGUGCCCUUCGGGGGAAAGAUUUAUCGCCUUUAGAGCGGCCCGCGUCUGAUUAGCUAGUUGGUUGAGGUAAUGGCUCACCAAGGCGACGAUCAGUAGCUGGUCUGAGAGGAUGAGCAGCCACAUUGGGACUGAGACACGGCCCAAACUCCUACGGGAGGCAGCAGUGGGGAAUCUUGCGCAAUGGGCGAAAGCCUGACGCAGCCAUGCCGCGUGAAUGAUGAAGGUCUUAGGAUUGUAAAAUUCUUUCACCGGGGACGAUAAUGACGGUACCCGGAGAAGAAGCCCCGGCUAACUUCGUG